AUGCAACUCAUUGAACUCUCGAGUGAUCAGGGAUACCACUACAGAAAAACAUGCAAACAAGUGCGACAAAAGAGGUUGUUGAAGCGACAAUGGAUGAAGAAGCGACAGAACCGACUCAGUAUGCUAAUCCUAACAGAAACAACCUCAAGAAACUCAAAUAUCUCAUGUAAGAUGCAGGCUGAUGGAGCUCAGAAAAUGGUCAAAUAG